CUGGCUCAGAACGAACGCUGGUAGCGUGUCUUAUACAUGCAAGUCGAGCGGUGCAGCAAUGCAUAGCGGCGAACGGGUGAGUAACGCGUAAGCAAUCUGCCCCCUCGUUCGGGAAUAGCCGUGCCAACGCGCGGGUAAUACCGGAUAUAGUGGCCCUGGACAUCCGGGUUGACAAAGAUUUAUCGACAGGGGAUGAGCUUGCGUCCGAUUAGCUAGUUGGCGGGGCAACGGCCCACCAAGGCGACGAUCGGUAGCCGGCCUGAGAGGGUGAUCGGCCACAUUGGGACUGAGAUACGGCCCAGACUCCUACGGGAGGCAGCAGUAGGGAAUAUUGCACAAUGGGGGAAACCCUGAUGCAGCAACGCCACGUGUGGGAAGAAAGCAUUUCGGUGUGUAAACCACUGUCGUGAGGGAAUAAGGCUGAGUUUCGGCUCAGUUGAAUGUACCUCGAGAGGAAGCACCGGCAAACUUCGUGCCAGCAGCUGC
rnacentral:rRNA from 1 species